UUUGAGUGGAGAGAUCCUGACACUAGA
rnacentral:piRNA from 1 species